AUGAACAAAAGAUCACUUUUGUCAUUGGGUAAAUGCUACUAUAAAACUAACUGUACUUCUGACAAAACCAAAAUUAUGCUUUCAGAGUAUGGACAGUAUUUCCUGAAUGAGGUGCUAUUAGUCAGGCAUUCCCCCAGACUUCAGCUUAGAUGCUGGGUACCUGGAAUUCAAGCAGCAUGGGAUGGAGACCAGAUGGAUUUUUCCAUGCUGCCACACCAUGAAGAUCUUCUGCAUGGAGUGCAGCUCUCCCUGCUGCUCCUUUGAGCUAUGAUAUACAAACUUCUUGCAGAUGUUUUACAGGAAAGGACAUGGCAUCUUCUACCAGGAAACCAAAAUGGAAUAAGUCACCACAUGGAAGGGAGAUUUUUUUCCCUAAACUCCAUUAAUAUUUAGCUGAUAAGUUUAGAG
rnacentral:lncRNA from 1 species